rnacentral:rRNA from 1 species
GACGAACGCUGGCGGCGUGCUUAACACAUGCAAGUCGAACGGAAAGGCCCUGCUUUUGUGGGGUGCUCGAGUGGCGAACGGGUGAGUAACAUGUGAGUAACCUGCCCUUGACUUUUGGAUAACUUCAGGAAACUGGGGCUAAUACCGGAUAGGAGCUCCUGCUGCAUGGUGGGGGUUGGAAAGUUUCGGCGGUUGGGGAUGGACUCGCGGCUUAUCAGCUUGUUGGUGGGGUAGCGGCUUACCAAGGCUUUGACGGGUAGCCGGCCUGAGAGGGUGACCGGCCACAUUGGGACUGAGAUACGGCCCAGACUCCUACGGGAGGCAACGGUGAGGAAUAUUACACAAUGGGCGGAAGGCUGAUGCAGCAACGCCGCGUGGGGGAUGACGGCCUUCGAGUUGUAAACCGCUUUCGCCUGUGACGAAGCGUGAGUGACGGUAAUGGGUAAAGAAGCACCGGCUAACUACGUG